UAUGUAGUCCCUCCGUCCCGAAAUACUUGUCGGAGGAACGGAUGCAUCUAGACGGAUUUUAGUUCUAGAUACAUCCAUUUUUAUGCAUUUCUCCAACGAGUAUUUCCGGACGGAGGAGUAUAUG
rfam:Triticum aestivum genome assembly, contig: Triticum_aestivum_CS42_TGACv1_scaffold_404640_5BL